CCCAUAUCGCCCGUUCUCAAGUCUCGACGAAUUUUCACGCAGCCUGCAACUGAAUCAUCUCCCUGGCCCUCCCUCUUCACUAUUGACGGUGCAAGUUUAAGGUAAGUGACCAGCAGGUGCCUUAGCUUAUGUACAUGCUCCAAAAUUAUCUAGCUAGCAUUUUGUCUUUAAAAAUCCACCGGUCGAUAUGCUUUUAUGGACGAUAUGCUUUAGCUCCACUAGUUCUCAUUGAAGAUCCCAACACUAGCUAGUUAAUGCCAUCGUCUCCUGCCAACACUCCCAACGGUUGAACUCAGUUAAUGAUAAUUGAUGAAGAUCGUUCUGUGGCCGAAGGAGACUAGAUUGGCAGGUCUACCUCACAUCUUUUUGCAUUUUUUUGCUUUUCCCAUUGUUUUUCGGGGAGCCAUCUUAGCUUCCUUUUGUACAAUAGAUCGACCAUUCCCUUCAAAAUACAAUUGACGAAGAUCCGAACUCUGAAGUGGCACUAUGCUGGUGUGGCCCCGCAUGAAAGAAGCGCCCAAGACUGGAUAGGAGUUCACUAGCCAACACUCGAAGGACCAGAAAGUGAACAAUCAAUGGGGGAGACUGGCGGAUGUGGUCGCACAGGUAACGUAACCCAACUCAUUCGUUGGGAUCAAAUUGCUGAUGCCUCGCGUGCCUACGCUCAGUGUAAUCCAGGAUAUUGUAUGAUCUUUGCUUGGUACUGUUAUUUUCUGGGCCUCUUGCCUCUAUCCGAACCUAAUUCUGAAUUAAUUUGCUGGUUGCUUUCUUCCACUGGUUCCUCUUCAUAUUUAUCACCUCAUAUUGGCGUAGUAUACCAACCAUCUUCGAUUCAUAAAAAAUGUCGCUCACUAAAUACAAAAUUUAUACUAACUUAGUAGAAAAUGGACGACUUUUUUUAUGGAUCGGAGGGAGCAGACACUGGUACUAGUUUGAUAUAUAGCAUAGGCCAACUACUGCGCUGCUA
rnacentral:lncRNA from 1 species